AAUGCUCUAAAAGGGUUUAUCUAUCCUAGGCCUCAGUGCAAGGGAUUUGUUCUGCGAAAUUCUUUUCUGAUACCACCUGUGACAUCCCAGGUGUCAAUUAAGACAAAUGAGUGUUAGAUACAGAUUCAGAAUAACGAGUGUAUGAUAAUAUUUAUGUAGCAGAAUCAAACUUUAACAAAUUCCUUACAGAUAUAUAUAAUGUUCC
rnacentral:lncRNA from 1 species